GAUCCUGGCUCAGGAUGAACGCUAGCUACAGGCUUAACACAUGCAAGUCGAGGGGCAUCGGGAAGAAAGCUUGCUUUCUUUGCCGGCGACCGGCGCACGGGUGAGUAACACGUAUCCAACCUGCCCUUUACUCGGGGAUAGCCUUUCGAAAGAAAGAUUAAUACCCGAUGGCAUAAUGAUUCCGCAUGGUUUCAUUAUUAAAGGAAUUCCGGUAAAGGGAAUGGGGGAUGCGUUCCAUUAGGUUGUUGGUGAGGUAACGG
rnacentral:rRNA from 1 species